UGGGGAAUAUUGGACAAUGGGGGCAACCCUGAUCCAGCAAUUCUGUGUGCACGAGGAAGGUUUUCGGAUUGUAAAGUGCUUUCAGCAGGGAAGAAGGAAGUGACGGUACCUGCAGAAGAAGCGACGGCUAAAUACGUGCCAGCAGCCGCGGUAAUACGUAUGUCGCAAGCGUUAUCCGGAAUUAUUGGGCAUAAAGGGCAUCUAGGCGGCCAGACAAGUCUGGGGUGAAAACUUGCGGCUCAACCGCAAGCCUGCCCUGGAAACUGUCUGGCUAGAGUGCUGGAGAGGUGGACGGAACUGCACGAGUAGAGGUGAAAUUCGUAGAUAUGUGCAGGAAUGCCGAUGAUGAAGAUAGUUCACUGGACGGCAACUGACGCUGAAGUGCGAAAGCUGGGGGAGCGAACAGGAUUAGAUACCCUGGUAGUCCCAGCCGUAAACGAUGAUUACUGGGUGUGGGCAUGAAGAGUGUCCGUGCCGAAGCAAAUGCGAUAAGUAAUCCGCCUGGGGAGUACGGCCGCAAGGCUG
rnacentral:rRNA from 1 species